UUCCCUUAUCAACUGGGCAAGGCAGUGUCUCAGUGGCACCUUCCUAUAUCUGUUAAGGGAAAAGUAGACAGCCCAUGUUCAUCCCAGUCUACUCAUACCAUGAGCUAAAGACUGUUUCAUGCUAUGGGCACAUUU